rnacentral:ribozyme from 15 species
AAAAAAAACGAGAAAAAAAAAAAAAAACAAGACAUUCAAACAGUCGAAUUCCUUAACCCCACUCAGAUUCUCUCUUUCUUUUCCCUCUCUCUCUUUCCUGCUCUUUUGUUUUCUAGGAGAACAA